GUUGAAGUUUCAGAUUUAUGGGUUUAACCUAAGGUUUGUUUUUAAGGAAAAUUUCUGCUGUGUUCCAACCCUAAAUCCUUCGGAUUUCUCUAUCUCUUCUUGUUGCUGUGUACUUCCGUGGCUUCAAAAGAGACCCAAACAGGAGUUUAUUUUCAAGUUCGAAGGAACUCACUAGUAAAGCUCCCAGGUAAUAAUGAUGAAAAGGCUGGGGAGCAAGGCAUUACUGUAGAGGGAGAGGCAGACGCUUAGGACCUUCCCUAACGAGGAUAGUUAUGUUACAAAUGAUGGGUUAUGUUAUGUAUAGAUAUUUUAUUUUGGGAUGGACUCUGAGAGUCUCUUAAGAAUGAAUGUUCGAAUA